UGCUUGGUGGUCCAGUGGUUAAGAUGUGGUGCUUACACUGCCGUGGCCCAGGUUCAAUCCCUGGUCAAGGAA